AGUUCAGGUGGCCUAGUGGUUAGAGCGUGCGCCUCGGAUGCGGUCGGUCAUGGGUUCGAUCCCAGGUCGAGUCA